AUUGAACGCUGGCGGAAUGCUUUACACAUGCAAGUCGAACGGUAGAGGGGGCAACCCCUUGAGAGUGGCGAACGGGAGAGUAAUAUAUCGGCACGUGCCCAGUCGUCGGGGAUAACGUAGCGCAAGUUACGCUAAUACCGCAUACGAUCUAAGGAUGAAAGCGGGGGAUCGCAAGACCUCGCGCGACUGGAGCGGCCGAUAUCAGAUUAGGUAGUUGGUAGGGUAAAGGCCUACCAAGCCAACGAUCUGUAGCUGGUCUGAGAGGACGACCAGCCACACUGGAACUGAGACACGGUCCAGACUCCUACGGGAGGCAGCAGUGGGGAAUUUUGGACAAUGGGCGAAAGCCUGAUCCAGCCAUUCCGCGUGCAGGAUGAAGGCCCUCGGGUUGUAAACUGCUUUUGUACAGAACGAAAAGGUUUCUAUUAAUACGAGGAGCUCAUGACGGUACUGUAAGAAUAAGCACCGGCUAACUACGUG
rnacentral:rRNA from 1 species